GUCUUCGCUACGUACGUGCUGCCAAGGUUGUCUAAGAAGAGUCUGGAUUUUAGGUGUGGAGUUAUCAAAGAAGCUGGAUCUUCUGCAGUCACAUACUAAGGUUCUGAAAGAGUCGACGAUGCGUGAGAUUGGAGAAGCUGUACAUUCCAAGAAAUUAAAUGCUGAUGUACAAAAGCAGAAUUUGGAACCUUUAAUGCGAAGACAUCUGCUGUGUCAACAUGUACGGAGUCGAAGUCGAUGUCGGAGUCGAAGUCUACACCUGCCAAAUCGACACGUGCAAAGAAUACACCUGCAAAGUCGAAACCCGCCGAGUCGACACGUGCAAAAUCAACGCGUUCAAAGUCGACUCCUGCCGAGUCAACACCUGCCGAAUCGACACGUGCAAAGAAUACACCUGCAAAGUCGAAACCCGCCGAGUCGACACGUGCAAAAUCAACGCGUUCAAAGUCGAUACCUGCUGAGUCUACACGUUCAUAUUUGACACCUACUGAGUCGAUCAGUACAAAGACGACACCUUCCAAGUCGACUCCUGCCGAGUCAACACCUGCCGAAUCGACACGUUCAGAGUUGACACUUACGGAGUCGACAUCUACUGGGUCAACGCUUGCGAAGUCGACACCUGCCGAAUCUACGGAUGCAAAUUUGACACCUGUCGAGUGUAUAGGUACAAAGUCGACACGCGCAAAGCCAGCUCAUACUGAGUCGACACGUGCAAAAUCAACGCGUUCAAAGUCGACUCCUGCCGAGUCUACACGUGUAGAUUUGAAUCCUGUCGAGUCGACAAGCGCAGAAUCGAUACCUACUGAGUCGACAUGUACGAUUUCAACACCUGCUGAGUCGACACAUGCGAAAUCAAUAUCUUCCAGGCAUCCAGUAAGAUGUUCUCUGCGAUCACAGAAUUCACGUUCCGAAGACCUUCAGAGUGUUACAGAAGGGGAGGUGCCUUCGCAGCCAGAAGUUCAGAAUUUUGUCACCUUUAAUGACAUCGUCAAGGUUCGAUUGUUAUUGGCCGAUGAAAAUGACGAUGAAGUUGAAUAUACUUAUUAUGUACAAUGUGACCAACCGUCUGUUAUUUCACAUGAUGAGCGUAACGAGAGCGAUGAAUUUCCACAAGUUAUGGAGAAUUUGGACCUGAAUUAACAAGCGAAGAAGUGAUAUUACAGCCUGUUUGAAUAAUGACAUCCAUUCCAGUUUUGGCAUUCGGAAGUAUCAUCUUUCAUACAAGAACAGAUUCACCGGAUUGGCCACCUUGGCCUUGUUACAGAUCUGAGGUUAUAUGGCGUCAUACCGGGCCCACAGCAAGAAGUAGAACGGGUUCACCACGGGGCCUGGAAACUGGCAGCAGCAGCCAUCCUUAUCACACCCUGAUCACAGUCUGCGAGCGAUGCAUCAUUGAGAUGGUUGCCACACGUAUGCUGGCACUGCUGCUAACUUUCCAGCACCUGAGUGUUUCUGUUCUUCAGUUUUAUUUCUCUCGCCGUGGGCCCAGGAUGACACCGUCUGUCCUGUGGUCUGGGUCAGCCUCCGUGUUACGAUGCUUGGUAUCUGUUCGAGUCAGGAGCGAUGUCCGAGUACUAGUCUGCACCCUGGAGAUCGUAAUACAAGGCCACUGACCAGCCUGGUUAGUGAGGUGGAGCCAGUGUGCCGGAAGAUACAGUGACUACGAUGUGUUUUUUAUUCAUAAAUCAUAUUCUUGCUACUGCUUACUUCUUCAAAUAUAUCAUGAUAUAGUGUACAAUGAAACACCUGUUUUGACCACAUUUGGUCAUCUUCAGGCAAAUAACUUAAUAAUAAUAAUGACAGCAGCAGAAUUAA